rnacentral:rRNA from 1 species
UUUUAAAAACAUUUCUUAUAUUACUAUUAUAAGUAAAAUCUGCUCAAUGUACAAUAAAUAGCCGCAGAAUUUUUACUGUGCUAAGGUAGCAUAAUCAUUAACCUUUUAAUUAAAGGCUAGAAUGAAAGAUUUAACAUUUAAAUUACUUUUUUAUUUAAAUAUAUUAAAUUUAUCCUAAAUAUAAAAAGAUAUUUAUUCUAAAAAAAGACGACAAGACCCUAUUGAACUUAACUUGAGUUAAGCUGGGGCAGCUAAUUAAUUAUUAUUUUAAUAAAAUUUUCUCAAUAAAUAGACCCAAUAAAAUUGAUUAUAUGAUCAAGUUACCAUAGGGAUAACAGCGUAAUAUAUUUUUAUAGCUCUUAUUUAAAUAAUAGAUUACGACCUCGAUGUUGAAUUAAUUUUACUUUAAGGCGCAAUAGCUUUAAAAGUGGGUCUGUUCGACCCUUAAACAAUUACAUGAUCU